UAGUGGCGAACGGGUGAGUAACACGUGGGCAAUCUGCCCUGCACUCUGGGACAAGCCCUGGAAACGGGGUCUAAUACCGGAUAUGACACGCUCCCGCAUGGGAUGCGUGUGGAAAGCUCCGGCGGUGCAGGAUGAGCCCGCGGCCUAUCAGCUUGUUGGUGGGGUGAUGGCCUACCAAGGCGACGACGGGUAGCCGGCCUGAGAGGGCGACCGGCCACACUGGGACUGAGACACGGCCCAGACUCCUACGGGAGGCAGCAGUGGGGAAUAUUGCACAAUGGGCGAAAGCCUGAUGCAGCGACGCCGCGUGAGGGAUGACGGCCUUCGGGUUGUAAACCUCUUUCAGCAGGGAAGAAGCGAGAGUGACGGUACCUGCAGAAGAAGCGCCGGCUAACUACGUGCCAGCAGCCGCGGUAAUACGUAGGGCGCAAGCGUUGUCCGGAAUUAUUGGGCGUAAAGAGCUCGUAGGCGGCUUGUCGCGUCGGAUGUGAAAGCCCGGGGCUUAACCCCGGGUCUGCAUUCGAUACGGGCAGGCUAGAGUUCGGUAGGGGAGAUCGGAAUUCCUGGUGUAGCGGUGAAAUGCGCAGAUAUCAGGAGGAACACCGGUGGCGAAGGCGGAUCUCUGGGCCGAUACUGACGCUGAGGAGCGAAAGCGUGGGGAGCGAACAGGAUUAGAUACCCUGGUAGUCCACGCCGUAAACGUUGGGAACUAGGUGUGGGCGACAUUCCACGUCGUCCGCGCCGCAGCUAACGCAUUAAGUUCCCCGCCUGGGGAGUACGGCCGCAAGGCUAAAACUCAAAGGAAUUGACGGGGGGCCCGCACAAGCGGCGGAGCAUGUGGCUUAAUUCGACGCAACGCGAAGAACCUUACCAAGGCUUGACAUACACCCGGAAACCUCUGGAGACAGGGGCCCCCCUUGUGGUCGGUGUACAGGUGGUGCAUGGCUUGUCGUCAGCUCGUGUCGUGAGAUGUUGGGUUAAGUCCCCGCAACGAGCGCAACCCUUGUUCUGUGUUGCCAGCAUGCCUUUCGGGGGNUGAUGGGGACUUNCACAGGAGACUGCCGGGGUCAACUCGGAGGAAGGUGGGGACGACGUCAAGUCAUCAUGCCCCUUAUGUCUUGGGCUGCACACGUGCUACAAUGGCCGGUACAAUGAGCUGCGAAGCCGUGAGGUGGAGCGAAUCUCAAAAAGCCGGUCUCAGUUCGGAUUGGGGUCUGCAACUCGACCCCAUGAAGUCGGAGUCGCUAGUAAUCGCAGAUCAGCAUUGCUGCGGUGAAUACGUUCCCGGGCCUUGUACACACCGCCCGUCACGUCACGAAAGUCGGUAACACCUGAA
rnacentral:rRNA from 3 species